rnacentral:rRNA from 1 species
GACGAACGCUGGCGGCGUGCUUAACACAUGCAAGUCGAACGAUGAAGAAGAGAAACGCGAACUUCGGUUCAAAUUACACUUCGGAUUAGUGGCAGACGGGUGAGUAACGCGUGAGCAACCUACCUCUUACAAAGGGAUAGCCUCGGGAAACCGUGAUUAAUACCAUAUGACACAUUCAUAAGGCAUCUUAAGAAUGUUAAAGCUACGGCGGUAAGAGAUGGGCUCGCGUCCCAUUAGCUAGUUGGUGAGGUAACGGCCCACCAAGGCGACGAUGGGUAACCGGCCUGAGAGGGUGAACGGUCACAUUGGAACUGAGACACGGUCCAAACUCCUACGGGAGGCAGCAGUGGGGAAUAUUGCACAAUGGAGGGAACUCUGAUGCAGCGACGCCGCGUGAGCGAUGAAGGAAUUCGUUUCGUAAAGCUCUGUUCUAUGGGAAGAAAAGGACUGUACCAUAGGAGAAAGCCCCGGCUAAAUACGUG